AUUGAACGCUGGCGGCAGGCCUAACACAUGCAAGUCGAGCGGAUGAAGGGAGCUUGCUCCUGGAUUCAGCGGCGGACGGGUGAGUAAUGCCUAGGAAUCUGCCUGGUAGUGGGGGAUAACGUCCGGAAACGGGCGCUAAUACCGCAUACGUCCUGAGGGAGAAAGUGGGGGAUCUUCGGACCUCACGCUAUCAGAUGAGCCUAGGUCGGAUUAGCUAGUUGGUGGGGUAAAGGCCUACCAAGGCGACGAUCCGUAACUGGUCUGAGAGGAUGAUCAGUCACACUGGAACUGAGACACAGUCCAGACUCCUACGGGAGGCAGCAGUGGGGAAUAUGGGACAAUGGGCGAAAGCCUGAUCCAGCCAUGCCGCGUGUGUGAAGAAGGUCUUCGGAUUGUAAAGCACUUUAAGUUGGGAGGAAGGGCAGUAAGUUAAUACCUUGCUGUUUUGACGUUACCAACAGAAUAAGCACCGGCUAACUUCGUG
rnacentral:rRNA from 1 species